rnacentral:rRNA from 1 species
GACGAACGCUGGCGGCGUGCCUAAUACAUGCAAGUUGAGCGAUGAAGAUUGGUGCUUGCACCAAUUUGAAGAGCAACGAACGGGUGAGUAACGCGUGGGGAAUCUGCCUUUGAGCGGGGGACAACAUUUGGAAACGAAUGCUAAUACCGCAUAACAACUUUAAACAUAAGUUUUAAGUUUGAAAGAUGCAAUUGCAUCACUCAAAGAUGAUCCCGCGUUGUAUUAGCUAGUUGGUGAGGUAAAGGCUCACCAAGGCGAUGAUACAUAGCCGACCUGAGAGGGUGAUCGGCCACAUUGGGACUGAGACACGGCCCAGACUCCUACGGGAGGCAGCAGUAGGGAAUCUUCGGCAAUGGACGAAAGUCUGACCGAGCAACGCCGCGUGAGUGAAGAAGGUUUUCGGAUCGUAAAACUCUGUUGGUAGAGAAGAACGUUAGUGAGAGUGGAAAGCUCAUCAAGUGACGGUAACUACGCAGAAAGGGACGGCUAACUACGUG